UACGAGGGGUGCAAGCGUUGCUCGGAAUUAUUGGGCGUAAAGGGUAGGUAGGUGGUCUCAUUUGUCUGGGGUGAAAUCCUUGAGCUUAACUCAAGAAGUGCCCCAGAAACGGUGAGACUUGAGUACUGGAGAGGGUCGUGGAAUUCCCGGUGUAGCGGUGAAAUGCGCAGAUAUCAGGAAGAACACCCGUGGCGAAGGCGGCUCUCUGGGACGUGACUGACGCUGAGACGCGAAAGCGUGGGGAGCGAACAGG
rnacentral:rRNA from 1 species